GAUGAACGCUGGCGGCGUGCCUAAUACAUGCAAGUCGAGCGAAUGGAUUAAGAGCUUGCUCUUAUGAAGUUAGCGGCGGACGGGUGAGUAACACGUGGGUAACCUGCCCAUAAGACUGGGAUAACUCCGGGAAACCGGGGCUAAUACCGGAUAACAUUUUGAACCGCAUGGUUCGAAAUUGAAAGGCGGCUUCGGCUGUCACUUAUGGAUGGACCCGCGUCGCAUUAGCUAGUUGGUGAGGUAACGGCUCACCAAGGCAACGAUGCGUAGCCGACCUGAGAGCGUGAUCGGCCACACUGGGACUGAGACACGGCCCAGACUCCUACGGGAGGCAGCGGUAGGGAAUCUUCCGCAAUGGACGAAAGUCUGACGGAGCAACGCCGAGUGAGUGAUGAAGGCUUUCGGGUCGUAAAACUCUGUUGUUAGGGAAGAACAAGUGCUAGUUGAAUAAGCUGGCACCUUGACGGUACCUAACCAGAAAGCCACGGCUAACUACGUGCCAGCCGCCGCGGUAA
rnacentral:rRNA from 1 species